rnacentral:rRNA from 1 species
UUGGGAGCUCUCCCAUAUGGUCGACCUGCAGGCGGCCGCGAAUUCACUAGUGAUUCGUAUUACCGCGGCUGCUGGCACGGAGUUAGCCGGAGCUUAUUCUCCCGGUACUGUCAUUAUCAUCCCGGGUAAAAGAGCUUUACGACCCUAAGGCCUUCAUCACUCACGCGGCAUUGCUGGAUCAGGCUUGCGCCCAUUGUCCAAUAUUCCCCACUGCUGCCUCCCGUAGGAGUCUGGGCCGUGUCUCAGUCCCAGUGUGGCUGAUCAUCCUCUCAGACCAGCUAAGGAUCGUCGGCUUGGUAGGCCUUUACCCCACCAACUACCUAAUCCUACGCGGGCUCAUCCCUGGCCGAUAAAUCUUUGGUCCGAAGACAUCAUCCGGUAUUAGCAGUCAUUUCUAACUGUUAUUCCGAACCAAGGGGCAGAUUCCCACGCGUUACGCACCCGUGCGCCACUAAGGCCGAAGCCUUCGUUCGACUUGCAUGUGUUAGGCAUGCCGCCAGCGUUCAAUCUGAGCCAGGAUCAAACUCUAAUCGAAUUCCCGCGGCCGCCAUGGCGGCCGGGAGCAUGCGAC